CAUCAUUUUAACAAACGAACAAUAGGUCAAAUUUAUUAGCCGGGAUAAUGGGCGGCGGAUAUUAGCGCCCGAACCGCAGCCUCCCAAACCCGAAAUCUAACGAAGCUGCAAUUAGCAGACGUUCCCCUCUCCUCCCGGCCGGGGCUGCUUCCCUGCAGCCGAGCGGGGCUGUGAGGGCGCGCUGCUGGUGAAACUGUCAUUUGCCGAGGGGCUUGGGGAGGGGGGGGGUUCGUUUUCUUCCAAAUUUUCUGCAUCUGAACAAAACCCAAACCAUGUGAAUCCUUUCUAUUACAAUGGAGUUGCAACCGCGGAACGAACCUGCGGGAUCCUGGACACCCCACCGCCGCGGGAGCAACGAAAGGGGUGCACAGUGGGGCGCAAGCUCUGCGCUACCUGCGCACUGGGUGAGGACAGCACCGGAGCGGACCCCGCGCUCCCAAGAACCCCGACCCGCGUGGGGAGAAUCCGCCCCCGCCUGGGCUUCGGCCGCGGCGUCGCGGCCACUUUGGAGACACUCCCUGGCACCGGCCAGAAGGACCGAGGCGCGACUCUCAGGUGCCCAUGCUUGCCGGGCCGGGCUGAACGGGACCCGAGGUUGCCCGAUUUCUCUACUAAAUUUGACUCCGUUUCAACACUUUUGUUGGGCAAAUUACAUUAAGAUGGAUGUUGCAGAAAGGGCACAGAAUGGAACUUAGCCUUCCUAGGAAGAUCAGAAUUCUGUUCCAGAUUUCUGGGGAGAAACCUUUAGCCAAACCUUUCCAGUGAAGGCCAGGUAAGAGCCGAGGCUGGAAGAUCCCUGCCUGUGUAUAACUCCUCCCCCUGGGCGUGGUCUGGUCCUGGUGACUGGACUUCCAUGAAGAGAAUACAGAAGUGACUGGUGCCCCUCUGUGGUUAGGUUAUGAGAGGCUGUGACUUCCAGGGUGCUGUGUUCUUCCUUGCUCUGGUAAAACAAGAUGCUGUGCUGUGAGCCACCCUAUGGAGAGGCCAUUUGGCUAGGAGCUGAGGCUCAGUCCACCAACCCAUGAGGGGCGGACUCCUGCCCACAGCCACGAGGACGUGUGGAAGCAGGUCCUUCCCAGCGAGCCUCGUGGUGAACAGGGCCUAUGAGACCCACCACAGCCUGGGAGACCCAGAGGCAGAGCAUCCGCAGGAACUGAGAGAUAAGCAGUGCUGUUUAAGCCACUGUGAAAGCACUAGUUGCUCAGCUGUGUCUGACUCUUUGCCACCGUAUGGACUGUCGUCCGCCAGGCUCCUCUUUCCAUGGAAUUCUCCAGGCAGGAAUACUGGAGUGGGUUGCCAUUCCCUUCUCCAGGGGAUCUUCCCUACCCAGGGAUCGAACGUGGGUCUUCUGCAUUGCAGGCAGUUUCUUUACCAUUUGAGCCACUGGAGAAGCCUCUAUGUUUUGGGGUAAUUUGUUAUCUAGCAAUAGAGUUCUGAAAAACACAUGGAAAUUGAUAUAAACAUUAACUGGUUUCAACUUACCAUUCUCAAAUAUAGGUUUUGGAAGAGAUCUCAAGAAUGCCUGUGAGGUGACACAGACCUGGGAUCAAAUAUUGCCUGUGUAAGCUGGUACCACCUCUGAGCCUCAGUUUCCUCAGCUGACACGGGGGCUGAGGGCACAGUCCCCUAGCUGAGUGUGCCUGCCUGGCACAGGUGCUCUGCACACCCAGCGCUGUGAGCAGGCCCUGCUGAGGUGGGGUGGGCGGGCCUGACAAGUCCUCCUCCCCAGCGGGCCUCCAAGGCUGUGACAGAGCCCCGGGCUGCUGAGAAGCCACCAGGCAGCCUCUGGGGGCGUGGUCAAGAAAAGCAAGCGCACACGGUGAUUCUCUUGUGACCGUUUUAAUGCAAAUGACAUGGUGCUUUUAGGUCUUGGAACAUUUUAUUGUUUAUUUAUUUAGGCCACGCCCCACAGCUUGUGGGAUCACAGCUCCCUGACCAGGGAUUGAACCUGGGCCAUGGCAGUGGAAGCCCAGAAUCCUAACAACUAGGCCACCAGGGAACUCCCAGGUCUUGAACUUAAAAAAAAAAAAGUCCCAGAAUGGGACAGGCUUUCUAUGAAGGAUUUUUUUGGGAUGGGUAGUAUGCAGUAAUUAGCCCCCGAGAAAGAGAAAAUUCUCAAAUCAGAUUUCUCUAAAAAGUUAAGUUUUAUGAAGUUCAGAAUUUGCCUUCUCAUGGAAAAUUAUUUAUCCUACUGAUAAUGAAACACAGUGUAAGGCUGAGGCUUACUUCUCUCUUAGAUACCAGAAAUAACCCUACUUAGAACACACUUUUCCCUGACUUCCUGAGUUCACAUAUGGAAGACAAAUUUUUAGAUACACUUGGGUAACUUUGCUUUUAUGUGACAAGCCUGUUAUAAAACUCAACUAUCAAGAAAAAUUUCAAGAAAUAACUAGUCUGAGAAAUGAGAUUAUAAAAGGAGCCUGCGGAUUUACCUCUUCAACAGUAAGGCCAACCUUUCAUGUCUUAUCAGAAAUAAAGGGAAUAAUAUUUAUUAUAAGCCUGAACCA
ensembl:lncRNA